GAUUCUAGAUCACAGGAUAGUUUAGUAAUGAUUUCACUCUUUCUUUGAGUCCUCUGAGUUGGUCGAAUGGCCAUUAUUUUUAAGAAAGAUUCUGCCAUAAAUUGGAAAUAAUAUAAAUACCCACACGUAUCCGUUCGAGCGCGCGGGCACCCCCCCCUCCCCACAUACAGAGAGCCGAGUGCAACAUCUGAGGAAGAGAACUUACAACAGUAAAGGCAAUUUAAUUCAAGGACAUACCACAGUCUAUUAUUUCUGAUGUACUAAACUAUUUCAACACGGUUUUCUUUCUGAAUAACAGGUUGCUUUCUUUUUGAAUCAAACCUACAUUGAAUUCCCCAGCACGCAUUAGAGGCCGAUUUAUUAGCUUUCCGUUGGCUUUCGAGGAUAAAGAAGUUCGUGUUUAUUACAUAUUUAUAAGUUAAUAUCGUGACACGAAAGCACCGACUCUCUUCUCAAGAGAAACACUGAACAGGUAAUCCAAUGAAGCAUCCGUAUGGACAGUUUAAAAUAUUUUUCACUCUCUAUACAUUGAGCAUCAGGCUGGUCCCUCUAAAGCAAGAACCGAAGAAGCACAGAGAGGCAUCACUGAUACAUAAGCAGCCGGAGAGAUGGAGGAAGGUGUUUAAGAACAGGAAAACAAAAAAUAGACCUCACGGACGCAUAACUACGUACACUAUCUUUUCCGCCUACAAUGCAGGCAGAAGAACAUAAAGGUAGGAAGCAAAGAUCAAUAGAGACGUGGGGAUAAAAUGUUGGAAAAAGCCCACUUUGCCUGCAUCCCUACUGCCCCAUUACCCUUCUCGCCACCGAAAUCACAUAUUUCACCAAAGCCGCAGGUGCUGAGAUGAUUUGAAAGUUGUAAAAACCUCUCCAUACUGGACACUAAACUACCAUAAACUGAUCUGUAAUGAGACUGGCCGCCCAGAGAGUACGGACGGUCACAUCCAAAGCCAGCCUGCGUAAUUCCAAUUGAUUAGAGCUCUACAGACACAAUAUAACUUCCACUUAAAAAUGACAGGGGGAGAGAGAAACUAAAGGAGGAUCUUUUCCCGCCGCUAUAAUUUUGAGAAUUAUCUGAUGGGAUCUCAGUAUCUCAACACGUUAGAAGCGACCUAGCUGGAUUUAGGGUAGAAAAUGCAGGGCUGUAUCUUAGGUGGCGGGGGCUAAAGGGAUCCCCACUUCUACUUCAUAAGGGAUCAGAAUAAUUGAUGACAGGAAAACCUUAAUUCUUUCCUCGCAACGGCAGAUACCAUCACGGCAAGAUGGACUCUUUAAACCGUGCCCCCUGAAUAACGGUCUGAAUGGGAAGAGCCUUCCCAAGCCCAUUUAGAGCACUUUGAAACCCGAGGUUUGGUCUGAUCGCUUAAGACAAAAUGAGGAAUGAGAGCGUCAGGUAAUUUAUUAACUAUUUGCUCUUCAGGAAAUCCAGCUUCAACCCCCCCUAUUAGAAACCAGUGGCUUACUAUUUAUUUUAUAACUCAGUCAGAUAGAGGCUGCAGUCCAAGGGAGAAGAAGAAUGUGUUUAUGAACUGUAGCUAAUUUUGCUGAAUAAUAAUUAAAAAAAAGCUAAGAGGACCGCAGACAGAAAAAAAAAAGAUUUUGAAACAUCUUCAUCAAAGAUGCACUCAGGCACGAGGAAAGGCACGCUGGAGACUGAAGGAUGAUUUUUAUAAAGUAAUAUUGCUUCUGGAAAAAAAAAACAAGCCUUCCCUUUUUUUGCAGAUGUAAAUUUAUUUUAAUGAGACGAAUAGUGAGUUCUAAUUUGGUGCAAGAAAGUUGACAUAAUAUCUGUGUGAAUAUCAAAUAGUGACUAGGAUUUUUCUCCUGAAAAGUUGCUUAACAGCACUAAAUUCUUUACAGAUUAAAUCGCAAUAAGCAUAGAACAUCGAACAAAUACCGAGUUUAACUCUGAACUCAGUGGAAACCAGUUACGUCUAACAGAAUUCAUUGAAUUCCUCUUCUCCCUGAAUAUAGUAUGUGUGUGUUUUUCUCUUCCACCACACUGAAGCCCCAUGAAUAGGGAAAGUGACUCCUAUUGUGUUCGUCUGAACUUCCAAGUCAAUGCAAUUUUUAACCACUGGCUUGUGGUACUUUGAAAAUCACCAGGGGCUGUCAGAGUUGGGUCCUCUGAAAAAUUUACAGUGCUAAAUCAGAGCAUAUGCUGUGAGGGAAAAAAUUGCUUAAGAUUGGAGCAAGUACAGUAUCUGUCUGCCCCCUAGUGUAAGGCUCUUAUCUGCCUAAAAUUCAACUUUAAAAGAAAAGGAUCUCUUAAAGGGAAACGACUUUUGGCUCACGUAUGCAUACGAGAAUGAAACUUCUGUACGUUUUAAUCUGAUUAAUACUUAAGGAAUUAAAAUUAAUUGUCAUGGACACUGCUUGACCGGAUCGUAAGAUUUCUACCCCACCAAGCCAGUGUCGACUAGGUGUUUUUUGGACUGGUUUGUGGGCUAUUUUUUUCUUUCCUCAAUUUUUUUUUUUACCCUCUUAAAUGAGGACGUUCUUUGAAUGUUUUGGUCAGAGCAGAACGUUGCCGCUUAAAUCACAGCCGCGCGGUUUCAAUAAAGAGCAAAAAAAGAUAAAUAUUUGCCUUAAAGCUACAAGCAAACUUCAUCACCCCUCCCGAUGGAAAGCAAGAGAGAUGGCUUGGAUUUUCUGAUCUGGUUCAUCCAUACACAGCUGGAUUUCCAAAGUGGAAUGAAAAUGUCUUUAAAAUCAACACUACAUGGAGUCUGAGAGAACAAGUUUUCCUUUGUUGUACUCCUGAUGUGGAGGGCUUGACCUCAAGACGAGGAAAAAUGGUGCUUUGGUCAUUCUGUAAAGAUGACUGAAGAUACCAACUGCUGGAAGACAUGGAGGAAGCAUCUUCUAGGAAAAGAGACAUCUGCCCAAGGAACAUAGUCUGUCUCAUCCUUUGACUACUGGUGUAGAUCAGAAACUAAGAAGAUCAGUGCAGUGGAGAAGCUUCUUUAUGAGAACAGACUGAAAGGUCCUCAGUUUAAGAAGAGGAAGGCUGAAAAAUAAUGUGGUUGACUACAAAAUCAUGCGGACUGCCGACAGGGCAGACACUGAAUUGUUCAUCAAAAUCCACAAGAGGAUGAGGGGCAGGGACUCAAGUCCGAAGGUGGUAAGCUCAAAACAAGGAAAACACUUCUUCACUUAGUAAGUGGUAAGCAUAUGGAAUUUGUUACCACAGAAAAUUAUGCAGUCAAUCGGUGGUA